rnacentral:misc_RNA from 1 species
ACGAACACAAAGGUGGAAAAAUUACCUUCACCAUCGAUUUCAAUGCAGCAGAUAGACGCUUGAAGCUGAGGAGUCGAAAAUACAUGCAUGCACAUUCAUCGGAGAUCGCAGAUCCGAGAUCGGGGGAGCUUGUGUAGCUUUAAGGUGAGGCGCCAUGGCGGAGAGGCUAGAGGACCUCUCCAGGGUGAAGAGCUACAGAAGAAGCUCACAUGCACG